rnacentral:sRNA from 1 species
GCCAGGCGCGGCAGUGCACACCUGUAAUCCCAACAGCUCGGGAGGCUGAGGCAGGAGGAUCAUGAGUUUGAGGCCAACCUCAGCAAUUUAGGGAGGCCCUGAGGCACUCAGUGAGACCCUGUCUCUA